rnacentral:rRNA from 1 species
CCUACGGGUGGCUGCAGUGGGGAAUAUUGGACAAUGGGCGAAAGCCUGAUCCAGCCAUGCCGCGUGUGUGAAGAAGGCCUUCGGGUUGUAAAGCACUUUCAGUGGGGAAGAAAGCCUUGGGGCUAAUACCCUCGAGGAAGGACAUCACCCACAGAAGAAGCACCGGCUAACUCCGUGCCAGCAGCCGCGGUAAUACGGAGGGUGCGAGCGUUAAUCGGAAUUACUGGGCGUAAAGCGCGCGUAGGCGGUCUGAUAAGCCGGUUGUGAAAGCCCCGGGCUCAACCUGGGAACGGCAUCCGGAACUGCCAGGCUAGAGUGCAGGAGAGGAAGGUAGAAUUCCCGGUGUAGCGGUGAAAUGCGUAGAGAUCGGGAGGAAUACCAGUGGCGAAGGCGGCCUUCUGGACUGACACUGACGCUGAGGUGCGAAAGCGUGGGUAGCAAACAGGAUUAGAUACCCCGGUAGUC